UCCUGGCAAAAACCCAGUGAGAAACGUACUGUUGUAGUUUUGUAGAUAAGAAAACUGGUAUCUCAGAAGCUAAGCAGGGUCGAGCCUGGUUAGUACUUGGGAGACCACCUAGGAAGACCAGGUGCUAUAGGCG
rnacentral:rRNA from 1 species